UGAACGCUAGCGGCAGGCUUAAUACAUGCAAGUCGUGGGGCAGCAUGAGUAGCAAUACUUGAUGGCGACCGGCAAACGGGUGAGGAACACGUACACAAACCUUCCUUCAAGCGGGGAAUAGCCCAGAGAAAUUUGGAUUAAUACCCAUAAUAUAUUUGAUAAGGCAUCUUAUUAAUAUUAAAGCUUCGGCACUUGAUGAUGGGUGUGCGGCUGAUUAGAUAGUUGGCGGGGUAACGGCCACCGAGUCUACGAUCAGUAGCUGAUGUGAGAGCAUGAUCAGCCACACGGGCACUGAGACACGGGCCCGACUCCUACGGGAGGCAGCAGUAAGGAAUAUUGGACAAUGGACGAAAGUCUGAUCCAGCCAUGCCGCGUGAAGGAUUAAGGUCCUCUGGAUUGUAUACUUCUUUUAUAUGGGACGAAAAAAGGGCAUUCUUGUCCACUUGACGGUACCAUAUGAAUAAGCACCGGCUAACUCCGUG
rnacentral:rRNA from 1 species